CACGUAGGCGGAUAUUUAAGUCAGGGGUGAAAUCCCAGAGCUCAACUCUGGAACUGCCUUUGAUACUGGGUAUCUUGAGUAUGGAAGAGGUAAGUGGAAUUCCAUGUGUAGCGGUGAAAUGCGCAGAGAUAUGGAGGAACACCAGUGGCGAAGGCGACUUUCUGGUCUGUAACUGACGCUGAUGUGCGAAAGCGUGGGGAUCAAACA
rnacentral:rRNA from 1 species